GCGGUGAAAUGCGCAGAUAUCAGGAGGAACACCGAUGGCGAAGGCAGGUCUCUGGGCAUUAACUGACGCUGAGGAGCGAAAGCAUGGGGAGCGAACAGGAUUAGAUACCCUGGUAGUCCAUGCCGUAAACGUUGGGCACUAGGUGUGGGGGACAUUCCACGUUUUCCGCGCCGUAGCUAACGCAUUAAGUGCCCCGCCUGGGGAGUACGGCCGCAAGGCUAAAACUCAAAGGAAUUGACGGGGGCCCGCACAAGCGGCGGAGCAUGCGGAUUAAUUCGAUGCAACGCGAAGAACCUUACCAAGGCUUGACAUGGACCAGACCGGACUGGAAACAGUUCUUCCACUUGUGGCUGGUUUACAGGUG
rnacentral:rRNA from 1 species